UACGUAGGGUGCGAGCGUUGUCCGGAAUUAUUGGGCGUAAAGAGCUCGUAGGCGGUUUGUCGCGUCGACUGUGAAAACCCGAGGCUUAACCUCGGGCCUGCAGUCGAUACGGGCAGACUAGAGUUCGGUAGGGGAGACUGGAAUUCCUGGUGUAGCGGUGAAAUGCGCAGAUAUCAGGAGGAACACCGGUGGCGAAGGCGGGUCUCUGGGCCGAAACUGACGCUGAGGAGCGAAAGCGUGGGGAGCAAACAGG
rnacentral:rRNA from 1 species